rnacentral:rRNA from 1 species
GAUGAACGCUGGCGGCGUGCUUAACACAUGCAAGUCGAACGGUGAAAGAGAGCUUGCUCUCUGGAUCAGUGGCGAACGGGUGAGUAACACGUGAGCAAUCUGCCCCUGACUCUGGGAUAAGCGCUGGAAACGGCGUCUAAUACCGGAUACGAGCUGCGAAGGCAUCUUCAGCAGCUGGAAAGAACUUCGGUCAGGGAUGAGCUCGCGGCCUAUCAGCUAGUUGGUGAGGUAACGGCUCACCAAGGCGUCGACGGGUAGCCGGCCUGAGAGGGUGACCGGCCACAAUGGGACUGAGACACGGCCCAGACUCCUACGGGAGGCAGCAGUGGGGAAUAUUGCACAGUGGGCGAAAGCCUGAUGCAGCAACGCCGCGUGAGGGACGACGGCCUUCGGGUUGUAAACCUCUUUUAGCAGGGAAGAAGCGAAAGUGACGGUACCUGCAGAAAAAGCACCGGCUAACUACGUG